rnacentral:rRNA from 1 species
UACAUGGGGUGCAAACGUUGCUCGGAAUUACUGGGCGUAAAGCGUGCGCAGGCGGUUCGUUGUGUCGGCGGUGAAAGCCCCGGGCUCAACCUGGGAAUGGCCGUUGAAACUGGCGAACUGGAGUGUGGCAGAGGGGGGUGGAAUUCCGCGUGUAGCAGUGAAAUGCGUAGAGAUGCGGAGGAACACCGAUGGCGAAGGCAGCCCCCUGGGCUGACACUGACGCUCAGGCACGAAAGCGUGGGGAGCAAACAGG